rnacentral:rRNA from 1 species
AACAAACGCUGGCGGCGUGCAUAACACAUGCAAGUCUAAAGGGAAUGUCGGCUUCGGCUGACUAGUACCUUGGCGAACGGGUGAGUAACACGUGGGUAAUCUGCCCUCGAGUCUGGGAUAACCUUGCGAAAGCGAGGCUAAUACCGGAUAAGACCACGCCCUGUCUGCAGGGUGCGGUAAAAGGUGGCCUCUUCUUGAAAGCUAUCACUUGAGGAUGAGCCCGCGGCCUAUUAGCUAGUUGGUAGGGGAACGGCCUACCAAGGCGACGAUGGGUAGCCGGCCUGAGAGGGUGUACGGCCACACUGGCACUGAGAUACGGGCCAGACUCCUACGGGAGGCAGCAGUGAGGAAUUUUGCGCAAUGGGGGAAACCCUGACGCAGCAACGCCGCGUGAGUGAUGAAGGCCUUCGGGUUGUAAAGCUCUUUUAGUGGGGAAGAAGCCCACCCGGGAUAAUACCCCGGGUGUCUGACGGUACCCACAGAAAAAGUUCCGGCUAACUACGUGCCAGCCGCCGCAGUAAGAC